AAAUGCACCCGGAAGAAGACUUCUCUU
rnacentral:piRNA from 1 species